GACUUUGAGGUUGGACAAAUUACUUGCCUUAGCUCAUGGAAUAUGAAUGGAUACAGCUCACACUAUUUCUGUGCAGAAGCUUUUAGAAGCAUUGUUAGUUUCUGCCACCCUGUUUACUCUUUCCCACUGCAUAUUUCCGAUUCAGACUGCUGCUUCAGUUCUGAAAUGAGAAGGUAGGUAAAGUCGUAGCCAACUUAUGUCCAACUUGUAUCAUGAAUGAGAAAUAAAACCUGUGUUUUUGUAAUCCACUGAGAUGUGAUGAUUGUUUGUGAGCAAAACAAAGCUGACUAAUGAGAUGUUUACCUUAAUGAGUCUGCUCUUUAACUCUUUCCUAAAAUAGCAGGAGAGCACAUGCUGCCCAGAUAUUAUCCAUCUUAAAGCAUUUUUUGCUCAUAAGCUAUUGCCUUCAUCCCUCCAAUUGUUUUAACCUGUUUACAGUAGUGAUGCUAGAGCCUUUUGGUCACAGUAAUGUAAGUAAAUAAAUAAACUGAAAUCGAUGAUUAAACACUUUUUUUAAAUCAAGUGCUGUAGAUACAAACAGGCAAGACAAGGCAUCUGUACUCAUGAAAAAGAGGGACAGUGAAGAUAGUAAUAAUGCAGUGUGCAUCAUUAAGCAAGGGGCAUGUUCAGGAUAUUAUGACAACGCAUUCAUUCACUCAGUGUGUCUCUAUCUCUCAUUCUCCACUUACAGUUUUAAGCUCCACAAAUAAAAGGACAGAAUCAUGUGACUCAGACUCCUCUAGCUCCUGACUACCCUCUCCCUUCAACCCCCUUUUCUCUCACAUACCAUAUCUAAUCCUUUAAAAGAAAAUCUUAUUAACACUAUCUUUAACACAUAUCCAGAAUCUGGUCACCUGUCACCACCUCUGCUGCUGGUUCCAGUGAAGAGCAUCUCAUAAACUAUUACAAGAGCCUCCUAAAUGAUCUCCCUGCCUCUGAUCUUACCUGCCCAUUCUCACCCAUCGCUGAGAUGAUUUCCACAGAAUGGUUAGUGGGGGAUUUUCAAACACCAGUUAGAUCGUGCUCCUCCUCUGUUUAGAACCUUCCAUUAGUUUCCCAUUUCAGUCUAAGGAAAGCCAAGUCCUCUCAACUGCUUACCAAGCCCUCAGUGUCUCCUCCCCCUCAAAGCUGCCCUUCUUCGAAAGCUUCUCCCAUGCUCCCCUCCCAGCCCCACCUAAUUCGUCUGUGCUCACCUCUUUGCUGCUCUGGCAUAUACCAACCAGUGUGUCCCAUCGAGGACUUCUCAGUUCUAUGCCUUCUUCCUGGAAUGCUCUUCCCCUCCAUACCUGUGGGACCUGCUCCUUCUCUUCUUUCAGGUCUCUGCUCAGUGUCACCUCUUUACUCUAGUCUCCCCUGGCCAACAGUCUGCACUGUGGAAACCAGACUCUUUUUUUUCUUUUUAGGGUUGCACUCUGUGGCAUAUAGAAGUUCCCAGGCUAGGAGUUGAAUUGAAGCUGCAGCUGCCAUCCUACACCACAGCAAUGUCAGAUCCAAGCCACAUCUUCAACCUAUACUGUAGCUUCUCAUGGCAAUGCUGGAUCCUUAACUCACUAAGUGAAGCCAGGGAUCUAACCUGCAUCCUCAUAGAUGCUAGUCAGAUUCGUUUCCACUGAGCCACAACAGGAACUCCUAGACUUCUAAAUAUAUACAAAAUGAACAAUCACUGGGAGAUUUUUUGCGCUUUUUUUUUUUUUUUUUUUGCUAAAAGGCUGAUAGUGAAGAACAACUGUUGGCUAAAAAACAAAAACAAUAAUAAUAAAAAGUACUAUAAUUGUUGUUCCUGAAGUUGUCUGAUUUAGGCAGAGUUUCCACCCUUCCUAAACAAAAGAUGUGCAUGAAGAAUGGAUGAAAUGAAACAUUUUUCUGGAUGAAUCUCUCCAACUUGGAUAUUUAAAGGCAGAGAAAUUAAUGGGGAAAAGCAUCCCAAGUCUAAAAUGGAAACUGUUUGAAAGGCCAUGAAAACUUGAAUGAUCCUGCUUGGAGUUCCCAAGUACUACAAGGACAGAGGGGCUCCUUUUUUUCAUAUUAAUUAACAAAUCAGACAUAUAUGGUGUUCAUAUAUUGCAGCCAGAGGGGAAACCUGGGCCAAUACCUGUGGUUUUAAGUCUGGUGUCUGAAACCUCAUCCCCUUCUUUAUGUACCAUACUUCUUUUUUUUGGUUUGUCUUUGCCUUUUUGUUUUUUUAGGGCCAUAACCACAGCAUAUAGAGUUUCCCAGGCUAGGGGGUCCAAUGGGAGCUAUAGCUGAUGGCUUACACCACAGCCACAGCAACAUGGGAUCUGAGCAGUGUCUGCGACCUACACCACGGUUCAUGGCACCACCGGAUCCUUAACCCACUGACUGAGGCCAGGGAUCAAACCUGCAUCCUUAUGGAUGCCAGUCAGGUUCGUUAACUGCUGAGCCACAAUGGGAGCCCCACAUACCAUAAUUCUAAACUCCAGGAAUGAGAACUGAGGAUGGGAGCUUAGAACAAAUGGUGUCUAGGAUAGGACUGAAACGAACACCUGACUAUUAAGCCCAUUUUGUUGUCCACCUUUCCCUCACCUCACUUCCUAACUAACUGCCUUUGUUUGAAGCAUUUGUCCUAGUUUUCUUCCUAUAAGAGUUUUAGGGUAUAGAAAUCACUUUCUUUUAAACUGAUAUAAUCUUUUUUUUUUUUUUUUUUUUUUUUAAGGGCCUCAUCUGUGGCACAUGGAAGUUCUGGAGCUGCAGCUGCAGGCCUGCGUCACAGCCAUAGGAACAGUGGAUCCAAGCUGUGUCUGUGACCUACACCAUAACUUGCGGCUGUAUCUGAUCCUUAAGCCACUGAGUAAGGCCAGGGAUCAAAGCAUAUCCUUACAGAGACAACAUCAGGUCCUUAGCACUCUGAGCCACAAUGGGAACUGCUAAACUGAUAUGAUCUUUACUUCACUCUGCCCUAUAUUCCAUUCCGUUGUUUCACCAGUAUCUAAUCUAUAACUCUUUAAGUAGUUUUCUCUCUACACCUUCCACCAUCACACAGUUGAAAUAAUUUUAGAAAAAUAUUUUUACCAUUAUCACUUUUGGAUAAUAUCUAAACACUGUGAUGGGCUCCUUUCUGUGUUUGACUGUAUCUGUCCAAGCUAAAUCUGUCUUCAGCUCUAUACUCUGUCUUCUCAAGUCAAAACAAAGUAUGCUAUAGUAAGCAAAAUUUUGACCUUCAGUCAAGUUACCAUCCUCUCCCUGUUGAUAUCUUUGUAAAAGAAAUCUUGCGUGAAUGUGUAUAUCCACAGAAUUUCUACUCUUUAUUUCUCAGGAAGUCUCUUUACUGGAGGUAGGAAGAACACAUUAAAAUGGAUAAGUAAUUCAUGUUAUUUUUAGGAAACAGAAAACCAAAUAAAUGUUUAAUAGGAAGGUACACUGUUUCACGCCUUGGAACACUGAAUAUUGAGCAUUGAUUGAAAGGCCACUGUUGACAUUGAUUGAAAGGCUACUGUGUUCAGGGAACUAUGAAAAUAAAGGAGUGUACAAAAGAUGUGAUACCUUCAUUUUGAGAGGUUUACAGUGGGAUGCAGGAAAAAAACAUAAAAGUGAACAGCAGCAUAUUUGGUUGAUACCUAUUGGCUAUAUAAAAUUGCUUUUGGAUAUGUUUCAUGAUUCCUCAUAAAACAAAGACUUAAUAAGUUUACUUGGCAGCUGAUGGGCAAAGUUAAAAAAAAAAUCAAAUAAGCUUUUUGUUUUCUUUUAAGCAGUUCCUGGCAAUGCUUUCUUUUUUAUUUUAAGCAGAUGAGUUUUUAAAACAAUGAUUGCAUUUAAGACUUUUAAGAAAGCUUGUAAACCACAGAUUAGAUGAGCUGGGUCCUGAGAUCUGAACUGCGAGCUAGCUUGAUGCACACAAUGCAGGGCUCAAAGGUCUGAAAUUUCCAUGCACACAGACAACACAAUAAGGGUCCACAGCAGCCAUGCACCCUCUGAGUCCUGAGCCACAGACUACUUUGUAGCUCCUUGAGAUUGGCCUGUUAAGCUAAGGGCCUGGGUCCUGUGUACAGGGUGAGCAAUGAAGGGUGACCAGACUUAGAUGGAGGAAAUAUUUAUCAUUAGUUGUGAAGCUUUUUCAUUGAAGCCCCAUUUCCUGAGUGCAUGGGUAUACCAAUUUAAAUAUUCGCUAUUCAUUUCAUGUUGCUUGGCCCAUCUUUGUUUCCUUAGCACCACGACUCGUUUGCCUGGCCUCAUAGUCUGUCUCCCAAGAGUGCUCUUGAUGAGAUAUUUUUUUUUUAUCAGGAAAUUGAUUUUCUUGCAUCUCUUUCGGAGGUUGCUGAAUCCAAUCUUGGAGGAGAAUAAUUCAAUUCUUGGAAAAAUGUCUAAUAUGGGAGCCUAGUGUUUGAUUUUUUCUUUCCCCCCUGGCCACAGCAUCAAAGCUGUGUGAGCAUGCCAGGAGCCAAGGCAGAAUAGGUGCUUGCUGGCCCACCAGCUCCAUCCUUACCUUACCAGCCAGCCUCCGCCAGCAGUGCUCUUCUCACAGUGGGCUCUGAGCACCCUCUUUCCGCCCUGGAAGCAUCUUGCUCUAAUGCAGUUUUUCACUCUUGCUAGUUCUAAAUCUUAGCUAAAUUUUCUGUCUUACCCCUUAUACAUCCUGGAAAUUCCUCACUGUGCAGUCUGCUCUCACAAUGGUACAUUUUUUCCCUUCGGGUCAGAAUGGCCUAAGUUCACGAUUCUUACCUAGCAAUGAAAAGUGGUUUCGUGGCCUAAGAUCUGGGUUAAUAAAAGUUGGACUUCUGGGUCCAAGACAGGCACAGUUGGUUGCGCUCUGUAUCUUUCCAAAAGAGAUGCACUAAGCAGUUUUAUGUGUGUAAGGGUCUUUGCCAUACCUUUGAGAGGGGUGCUUAGUUUAUUUAUAUCUUACCUUGAUGUUUUAUUAAUGACUGAUAGUUGUUUAGUCUACAGUGUCAAUUGGGAAUUGGAAAUCAGUCUGUGUCUGAGGCUAGUUUGCUUAAGUCAAAGUCAGAACUGAUCCAGUGCGGCACAUGGAUACAGUUAUUAUAAACAAUUAUGGUAAGAAUGCCCAAUUUUCUGUAAUUAAAAUGCCCAGUGAAUUCAAUUCAUUGGAUUUCGCCUUGUGACCAUUGUGCUGUUUCUUUCUAUGUAAAGAAGUGUAUUCAAUUAAGUCUUGCAUAAUGUGCACUUUGUCAGUCCAAAAAAAAUUUACUUUCCAGUUGCUUGUGGUGUCGUUGGUAUUUAUUCUGCAACGUCAGCAGCGCUUAUGGGCCAAAUGCAGAGUGAGGACUGCAGUUGAAGCAACGUUUUUUUGUUGUUGUUGUUCACAUUCCAACAUUCUUAAGAUCCGCCUGAAAGGAAAUGUUGGAACAGUGUUCUGAAAGUACUUUUGAGAGCCAUGUAUUCCUGGAGAGCUUAAGAACCUAAUAGUUCGGUGGCGGGGGGGGUGGUGAAGCUAUGAGCAUUUGUCUCCCUCUCCUACUUUAAGUCUUGUCUCAAAACUGAAAAAGAAAAUUACAGAAAGAGUUGCUGUGUUGUUGCAGUGUCUAGCUUCUUCUUGAGGUAGGAAGGGAACAUCUCUCGUAAAUAAUGAGAUGGUUCUGUCUUGCACGGGGAAAAAACAAAACAAAACAACAACCAUCCAAUGUACUAUUUUGGCAAAAUGCCUCUGAGUCUCUUCCUGUGGAAUUUUUACUUCUGUACUUUGCAGAGACUUCAUUUUUUCCUUUCUUCUUACUGAAAGCUGAGGAAUAAGGUGGAAUGGGUGUACUGCUAAAAAUUUUAUUCUUUUCUUCUCAGCUAUGGCCAACCAGUUGACAAACACAGAGAUGGGAAGCAGAAAUCUCAGUAUUUGAGGAUAUUUACGUGUCUUAGUCUCUGCCCAGAGUGGAACAAAAUCUGAAACACUAAAUUCUCUUGUGCAACAUUUCCUUUGUCUCUGCUGCCUCCCUUUUGAAAGGAAUCAUUAAGACACUUUUAGCUUUAGCCUAGCCCUGGGCUGUUACUAGAGCUUGGGGAGCCAAGAGGAGCAGAAAGACAGCAGGGCUGGAAGGAGGGGACAUGGGGCCUGGGCUUGGGCUGGCAGUCACUCAGGCUUUGCCGGAAAGGCCUGUAUGCUCUGCAGCAGAUGUGCCCCCUAUAGAAGGAAAACAAAUAAGUGUAAUCUUUUAUAAGUAUGUUCUUAAAAAUUCUUUGUUACAUUUUUGCAUGUAUGAAAGUACCAAGUUGAGAACAUGUUUGAGAAAUCAUAGGUUAGAUAAAUAUAAAUUAUUUACCUUGUUUUUCUAAUUUCAGGAGGAGCCAGGAUUCCACAGUUUGAAGAAGACUUGCUCUUUCCUUUCCUGUGCUUCUCCUCUCUCUGAAUUGGCAGCUGAGUUGGCAAAAACAGUUUGGUCUUUUGCAAGGCCUAAUUUCACUAUGGAUCUACAGACCCAAACCCCCAAGAGAAUUAUUGGUAGAUCUUUGGGAGAGUAAGAAAGACCUACAAAUUGAAAGAACACACGUUGCACAGAUGAGAAGAGCUGCUAUAGCAGAGAGAUGGAGAUCUUUAAACACUGACUUAGCGAUUGUAUUCAAAAGCAGCUACUGGAGUUCCUGUCAUGGCUCAGUGGUUAACGAAUCUGAUUGGGAACCAUGAAGUUGCGGGUUCGAGUCCUGGCCUCACUCAGUGGGUUAAGGAUCUGGUGUUGCCGUGACCUGUGGUGUAGGUCGCAGACACGGCUUGGAUCCUGUGUUGCUGGGGCUCUGGCGUAGGCUGGCAGCUAUAGUUCCGAGUACACCCCUAGCCUGGGAACCUCCAUAUGCUGCAGCUACAGCCCUAGAAAAGACAAAAAAAAAAAAAAAAAAAA
rnacentral:lncRNA from 1 species